rnacentral:rRNA from 1 species
GUGGCGGACGGGUGAGUAAUGUAUAGUUAAUCUGCCCUUUAGAGGGGGAUAACAGUUGGAAACGACUGCUAAUACCCCAUACUCCUUUUGCCUUAAUGGUAAUUGGGAAACGUUUUUUCGCUAAAGGAUGAGACUAUAUGGUAUCAGGUAGUUGGUGGGGUAAGAGCCUACCAAGCCAAUGACGCCUAGCUGGUCUGAGAGGAUGAUCAGCCACACUGGAACUGAGACACGGUCCAAACUCCUACGGGAGGCAGCAGUGGGGAAUAUUGCCCAAUGGAGGAAACUCUGAUGCAGCAACCCCGCGUGGAGGAUGACGCAUUUCGGUGUGUAAAACUCCUUUUAUAUGGGAAGAUAAUGACGGUACCAUAUGAAUAAGCACCGGCUAACUCCGUGCCAGCAGCCGCGGUAAUACGGAGGGUGCCAGCGUUACUCGCAACCACUGGGCGUAAUAUCGCGCGCAG